UACGUAGGGUGCAAGCGUUGUCCGGAAUUAUUGGGCGUAAAGAGCUCGUAGGCGGUCUGUUGCGUCGGCUGUGAAAACCCGGGGCUCAACUCCAGGCCUGCAGCCGAUACGGGCAGACUAGAGUUCGGCAGGGGAGACUGGAAUUCCUGGUGUAGCGGUGAAAUGCGUAGAUAUCGAGAGGAACACCAGUGGCGAAGGCGGCUCGCUGGGCCGGUCCUGACACUGAGGCGCGAAGGCGUGGGGAGCGAACGGG
rnacentral:rRNA from 1 species